AAGGCCACAGCUCAGUGGUAGAGCAUCUGAUUGGCUUGCGGAAGGUCCUAGGUCCAAUACCCAAUGGCCUCA